UCCCUGGUGGUCUAGUGGUCAGGAUUUGAUGCUCUCACUGCUGUGACCUAGGUUCAAUUCCCAGUCAAGGAA
rfam:Alligator mississippiensis ScZkoYb_34, whole genome shotgun sequence.